GGGAAGGGCUUCCGACUGACUGCAGGGGUCAUUGUAAACAUGGCGUGGCGAGGAUGUGUUAUGCAUUUGACCAAAACGGGGUUUAUCAGAUGUACGAAGGCAUCCCCUAGAGAUAGCAGACUCAACCCACAUAACCAGCAAAGAUCUGCAUUCCGUCGGGAAGCCAAAAGAACAGAUACAAACAAAGGGAAUGUUUCCCAAGAGACAGAGCUUGCCGCCUCCAAAGCAGGAGAGCCAGUCAAUGUUAAAUCUCCUCCUCCACCACCUCCAGCACAUUCUCCUAGGGCCCGACCAACGCUUUUUAAACCGUUUGUUUUCACAAUAGGGUUUACAGGCUGUUCCUUCGGUGUGGCGGCCAUAUUGCAGUACGAGUCCCUGAAGUCGAGAUUCGACACAGUCAGGGAAGAGGCAAAACCAAAUAAAGAAUUGAAGGGUUCUGAGGACAUGACCUACUGGCACAACUGGUGGGAUCAGCUGAACGGUGUCCAGAAGCAGCUGAUCCUUCUGCUGUCUUCAGCAGACGACUUGUGGAGCAGCUUUUCCGAGGGACAGAGGACCACUGCUGGUAUUAUAGCGGUCAAUGCCCUCGUGCUGUGCUGCUGGAGAAUCCCAUCUUUGCAAAGAACCAUGAUCAAAUACUUCACAGCCAACCCAGCCGCCAAGACGCGGUGCCUUCCCAUGGUUCUCUCCUCCUUCAGCCACUACUCCGUCUUCCACAUGGUGGCCAACAUGUACGUGCUGUGGACCUUCUCCACCAGCAUCGUCUCCCUCCUGGGCAGGGAGCAGUUCAUCGCCGUCUACCUCUCCGCUGGUGCGAUCUCCAACAUGGUUAGCUACUGCUGUAAGACAGCCACUGGUCGGCUGUAUCCCUCAUUAGGAGCGUCCGGUGCGGUGAUGACCGUGCUGGCAGCGGUGUGCGCCAAGGUGCCAGAGGCCAAACUCGGCAUAAUUCUCCUUCCCAUGGUCACGUUUACAGCAGGGAAUGUAAGGCCUUGAAAGCCCUCAUCGCCAUAGACACAGCGGGACUGGUUAUGGGCUGGCGGUAUUUGGAUCAUGCAGCUCACCUGGGAGGGGCUCUUUUUGGAGUAUGGUACGUAGCAUACGGUCACAAAGUGAUCUGGAGGAACAGGGAGCCGUUUGUGAAGCUUUGGCAUAGCAUCCGUUCCCCUGGUAACGGUGGGAGGCGGCCAGGCAGCGGACCAGGGUCUCUGUGAGGCCCCCACACAGCCAUGCACCCUCGGGUGGGGUCACCCCACCCACACGUUCCCUAACGUCUGAGACGGCCAGUGAACUGAACAUGUUGUGUUUACACAGCUGUAUUGGUUUCAUGACUGAGGUUGUUGCACUGGUAACAGGAGAGAUCAAGAGGCUGAUGGGAGGGAUGGGAUAACUGGUGUUGGUCAACAAGGUUUGAUUGCUGUUAUUGAUGCAGAAUAAGACCAGGGACCAGCUCCAAGAAGGAGGUUAUGGACACUUAAAUCUGAACUCUGGGAUUCAGUCUGAAAAAUGUUUGUGUUCAUUGCAGGCUUUUAAAACCAUCAUCAAUCCCACUGUGGAAAACCAUGAAAGAGGUUGUUAUGGAAGGACAUGAGGAUUAUGAUGAUUGGCUACUAUAGCCUACAAAUGUUUUGCGGGAGUUUUACAAUACAAACCAAUUGGAAGCUGAUUAAAUAAUAAAAUUAGGAGAACUGGAUGCACUACUGGCUAGAUGUUUUCUUGCUGUAUACUAUUUAACAAGUUCAUGUCAAAUUAGCAUUGAAAGGGUACUUAUCUCAUUUUAUUUGUGUGCUAUCAUAACAGAAUAAUGAGUGGUUGCAUUUUCUGUGACAUUUGUAACACUAAAUGUAUAUGUCUUUAACAAAGUUUAGAACAAUGGGAUUAUCCACAAUGGGUGUAAUUUAGAGUGACUGCUGCAGAAACAGGGAACACUCAAGUGUUGUUACUGCUUAUGUUGUCAAAUCGGUUGACAACUGAACAAUUCUGGCUUUUAAUUAAUUCUGAAACAAACAAAAUCCCUUCCUCCCCACAUCUUGGUUUGCAUUUCACCAUAACAUUGACAAUAAAGUCUGGAAUAGUUUCAGACUGACUUUUUAUCCUGUCCCUAGGCAAACAAUCCUCUCAAUCUUGAUCUGAGAGUUAGUUAUCAGUAUUAGUAUCAUUCAAUAAAAGUGUUACUUCCACAUGAA